rnacentral:lncRNA from 1 species
CUAGAAUGAGAUUAUAUUAUAACGCACAAGAUCAGGAGCGGGAAUUGUUCUGAUUUUAGGGUCGUUACAUUCGCCAUUUCAGAGGACCUCGCGAUCUCAUUAUCAGGUAAUUUUCCCUCUUAUAUGUGUGUAUGUGUUUUAACCAUAUCUAUAUCUCUAUAAUUUGUGAGAACUAGUGGGUAGAUAUGAAAUUGCACCUCCAAUGAACUCAAUUUUUUUUAUUAUGCUUCCUCUCUUAAAUUGUUCAUUAUGUCUCUUCUUUUUCCUGUCUAUUUAAAUGUAACAUAUUGUAUGGGUUAUUUUUUUGAGAAGGUAGACUUAGGAUGAUAAAAAAGAAUAAAUGAGUCUUUUUCUAAUGAGCCCGAUUUGCUAAAUGUUGUAUGUAAUGUACGUGCCAUUAAUGUUGGCUGGUUGUUUCAGUACUGGAGUAGUAAUUACAAAAACACCAUACAAUAUUUUGAAUAAUUGUAUGAGAAAAAGGAGGAGGAGGAGCUAUGGGACACUGACUUUGAUUUCCUAAAUGGUAGUAAUUUUGUCCCUGGCACAUUGUCAAAAAGUUUAUCAAUACAUUUAUUAUUUUGUUUUAAACUAGAUGAUAUUGUCUUCUUUGCGUGCGAAGAAUAAUUGACAAUUAGUUGUAAUAUGUACCAUACCUAGAAAUGCCUUUUAAUUUUAUUAAUGUGUACAAUAAUUUCUUAGAAACUUUGUCGUUGAUUAUGAAAUUGUCCCAUACUUUUUUGCAGACCAGGAUACCUUCAAGGACAUCGCAAGGAGCUCUACGCACACCAUUUUAGCUGCAAAUGGGCGUGAGCACAGGGAGAACAAAGUUUACCAUGUGCAACGACCCUUAACCUUUAACCAUAUAGAAAGACUCUCAGGUACGCAAAUGAGUUUUAAGUGAAGGUUGUUGCUCGCCUUGUUUUGUUGCUAGCUGGGCUAUUUGUGGUUGGUUCUGCAGGUGGUUUGGCUGUGUUGGGCAGUUACUGCAGUUCUGCAGAUGGUUUCAAUGUGCUACUGCUGCCUCACUGUGCUGCGUUUGUUUGGGUAGUCCUUAUACAACUGCUGCAGUGUUAUUACUGCGUUUGUUUGUUGUUCUGCUGCUGGUCUAUUUUUUCUGCAGCUGUCUUCUGCUGUUGCUGUUCUCUAGUUUGAUUUGGUUAUGGUCUGGGGUUGGGGGUUUGUUUUUUCUCUGACCUUUUCUUUUGUUCUGGUAUGUGUUUAUGGGCAUGGGUAUGGGUUGCAGCUUUUAUUUUGGAUGGUGCUGCUGCAGGUAUGCUGUUGCUGCAGUUGUGGCUAUUGGCUUGCUGUGUUUUGCUGUUGUUACUUCUGCUAUUAUCUGUUUAUGUUGCUUUUUGGUUUGCUCUUGUUUUCUGGGCUGAGUCUCUCGUGGAUGCUUCUUCUGCAACUGCUGCUGGUCCUCCUGUAAUUUGUUUUGGUUUUGUGUGGUGUUGGCUUGCACCCUAGCUGCUUCUCUUGGUUUUGUGCUGCUGUUCCUUGGUGGCUGAGCUGCUCUCGUUUCUGACACUUCCUGUUUGGCCUAUUGUGGCUGGUUUCAUGAAAUGUUAGAAUGUUAUUGUAAAAAAUGAAAAAAUUCUUAACAAUAUUGUCAUGCGAUGUUGUUUCUCAUGAUGUCGGUAUCUUUUAUAGUCAUGACAUCAUAGGGUAUGUUAUAUUCUAAUUGGGGUUUCUCAUGAUGUUUGUACAGGUUUUAUCUUUUAAUACAGUUUAAAUUUAGCAAAAAAAAGAGAAUUAUUUGACUUACC